rnacentral:lncRNA from 1 species
ACGAAAUGCACACCCGAAUUGGGGAUUAUGUAUCAUGACCAUGCCACGGGAACCGUACUCAUAGCCACAAUGAUUUAUUUUUCACCUUUCACUUAUCACAAGUUGAUCGCAAAAGUUUUAGACAUUCAAAAAAUUUCAACCUGUUCCUAUAUUUAAGGACAUAUUAUGUAAUCAGCCUCAGAUUUGGUUCUUUUCUUCUGGCGUCCUACAUUCUGCUACCCAAAAUCAUUACCUGAAUCAACAAACUAAACAAUCUUUUUAGUCUAAAUCACACUAGACACCACACCCAACAAUUUCAAUCGCAAGCAUGCCAACAAAAAGAAAGAGCACAAUCUGUAGUUUCUUUAGCGCUAACGGAUGAAGCAGUGAGUGAAACUAUAAUACUGGAAUCACAUGUUCAAUGUUAUGCCUCUGUACCAAACAAAAAAAAAUGUUAAAUAAUCCAACUUCAGUGAUACUAUGUUUUAUUACUUCAAUAUCAAAUCCCUAUUAAUUAGGAGAAAGAAAUUGUUUUCUUGAAUUUGUUUAGACAUAGAAGUACAAUAAUCAAUUUGCUUAAAACACUUAAAUCAACAACAUAAGGGCAACAUUCAUAUAAAAAAAAAGGAAGUUAGACAAGGAAUUGAAACAACAAGGAAAGAAAGGGAUUGUACCUUAAGGAUCAAAGCUUUUUAUUAAUUUAAAAGUAAACUCCAGCCACAUACACGAUAGUUAAGAUGAAUCAGCAACUAAACUCAACCAAACGACCACGGCCGCAUUAGAGAAAACUCGAACAGAACCUCUCGGAAUUGCAAACAGGCAGCUCGACUCGACUCGCACCUGCCAUGUCGUUUUGGACGAUUUCGAGGCUAUUUUUGGGUGGUUUUUGGGUCGUUCUUGGGGUCUGUCUCGCAGCUAGCUUUGCUGCUAUUUUUUUGGGGUAUUUUGGAGCUGUGUUUCGAUUGGAUUUUCAAGGUGUUUGUGGCGCUACUUUGAGCGACUGUUUUGGUGGUUUAAAAUGACGCUACAUAGAUGAAGACAGAGGGAUGAAAGUAGUGUUCUUUGGGUAGUGAGAGUGGCGGCAACUGGAGGCUUAGAGGUUCUCCUAAAAUUCAAAGAAAGACCACCUCCAUCUGUCCAUUCUUCCAUCCUUAUCUCUGUGUGUGUUUGAUUUUUGAAAAAAAGGGGCCUAGAGGAGUUGCUCUGUGUGUGUAUAUGAUGAUGUGCGACUGCUUUCUCUUAGCUUUUUCUAUGGGAG